UGAAAAACACAUGUUUUUAUGAGAAAUAACUGAUAAAUCUCAAGAAAAUUUCUCCAGAUAGUCAAGUUCUGAUCCAG
rfam:Tupaia chinensis contig45105, whole genome shotgun sequence.